rnacentral:rRNA from 1 species
UACGUAGGGGGCAAGCGUUGUUCGGAAUUACUGGGCGGAAAGGGCGCGUAGGCGGCACAGCAAGUCGGGAGUGAAAGCCCGGGGCUCAACCCCGGAAUGGCUUUCGAAACUGCUGAGCUAGAGUACAGAAGGGGCAACCGGAAUUCCCAGUGUAGCGGUGAAAUGCGUAGAUAUUGGGAAGAACACCUGAGGCGAAGGCGGGUUGCUGGGCUGAUACUGACGCUGAGGCGCGAAAGCCAGGGGAGCAAACGGG